rnacentral:rRNA from 1 species
GUCGAACGGAUGUCAGCAAUGGCAUUAGUGGCGCACGGGUGCGUAACGCGUAACCAACCUACCCAGAACUGGGGGAUAGCCCGCCGAAAGGCGGAUUAAUACCGCAUAAGCUAAGUGCCUGGCAUCAGGUGUUUAGUAAAGAUUUAUUGGUUUUGGAUGGGGUUGCGUGCCAUUAGCUAGUUGGUGAGGUAACGGCUCACCAAGGCGACGAUGGCUAGGGGAGCUGAGAGGCUGGUCCCCCACACGGGCACUGAGAUACGGGCCCGACUCCUACGGGAGGCAGCAGUAGGGAAUAUUGGGCAAUGGUCGAGAGACUGACCCAGCCAUGCCGCGUGCAGGAUGAAGGCUUUCUGAGUCGUAAACUGCUUUUAUCAGGGAAGAAUAAGGGCUGUGCGCACUCCGAUGACGGUACCUGAGGAAUAAGCACCGGCUAACUCCGUGCC